rnacentral:rRNA from 1 species
GUAGGGGGGCAAGCGUUGUCCGGAAUUAUUGGGCGUAAAGCGCGCGCAGGCGGGUCAUUUAAGUCUGGGUGUUUAAGCCCGGGGGCUCAACCCCGGAUCGCACGGGAAACUGGAUGACUUGAGUGCAGAAGAGGAGAGUGGAAUUCCACGUGUAGCGGUGAAAUGCGUAGAGAUGUGGAGGAACACCAGUGGCGAAGGCGACUCUCUGGGCUGUAACUGACGCUGAGGCGCGAAAGCGUGGGGAGCAAACAGGAUUAGAUACCCUGGUAGUCCACGCCGUAAACGAUGAGUGCUAGGUGUUAGGGGUUUCGAUACCCUUGGUGCCGAAGUUAACACAUUAAGCACUCCGCCUGGGGAGUACGGUCGCAAGACUG